rnacentral:misc_RNA from 1 species
UUUCCGUAGGUGAACCUGCGGAAGGAUCAUUAUUGAAUAACCGAGGUGCGAGGGCUGUCGCUGACCCGAAAGGUCGUGCACGUCCGAGUGCCCUCACACACAUCCAUCUCACCCCUAUGUGCACCACCGCGUGGGUCCCCCUUUGGCUUGUUCGGAGGGGGGCUUACGUUUUCACACAAACUUUGUAUGCAGUGUAGAAUGUAUUUUUUGUUUUUGCGAUCACGCAAUCAAUACAACUUUCAACAACGGAUCUCUUGGCUCUC